rnacentral:rRNA from 1 species
AUGACUAGUGAGAGAUGGUUGCUCCAAGGGGAUAAUAAUACUGCUUACUUUCAUGAAAUAGCUAGUACUAGCAAAAGAAAAACGAUCAAUCACUUUCUUGAAUGUAGUGAUGGUGCGAUUGAGGGUAUUGAUGAUUUGAUUAAUCAUGCAACUGCUUAUUAUGAGACCCUUUUUGGGUCUACUCCUGGUAAUCUCUUUCCUAGAUCUCCUGGCUUGUGGGGUGACAAUAAGAAAAUUAGUGAAGAUGACAAUGCUGCUCUAACUAGACCUUUUACUAUUAAGGAAAUUAUAAAUUCCUUUUUGGUAUGGACUCUAAUAGGGCCCCUGGACCUGACAAUUUCCCAUUGA